rnacentral:rRNA from 1 species
CCUACGGGUGGCAGCAGUGAGGAAUAUUGGUCAAUGGGCGCGAGCCUGAACCAGCCAAGCAGCGUGAAGGAUGACUGCCCUACGGGUUGUAAACUUCUUUUAUAAAGGAAUAAAGUGAGGCACGUGCGCCUUUUUGAAUGUACUUUAUGAAUAAGGAUCGGCUAACUCCGUGCCAGCAGCCGCGGUAAUACGGAGGAUUCGAGCGUUAUCCGGAUUUAUUGGGUUUAAAGGGAGCGUAGAUGGGUUGUUAAGUCAGUUGUGAAAGUUUGCGGCUCAACCGUAAAAUUGCCAUGGAUACUGGCAGUCUUGAGUACAGGUGAGGUAGGCGGAAUUCGUGGUGUAGCGGUGAAAUGCUUAGAUAUCACGCAGAACUCCGAUGGCGAAGGCAGCUUACUAGACUGCCACUGACAUUGAUGCUCGAAAGUGUGGGUAUCAAACAGGAUUAGAUACCCUAGUAGUC